UCUGACAUGGACAGUUGAGCUUGAUGAAGAUCAUAGAUCUGAAAAUUUUGGUAUAGGAACAUUGUUGAAUGUUUUAUUGGCUGAUUCAGAAAUUGGCAAGGCUUUUGGUGGAGUUGAACAGAUACUAGUAGCUGCUACACCUAUUAAGAUGGUUAGGUCACUAUUAUAAGGAAAAUGUUGCUCGAAUUCAUCUAGAAUUAUGGAGGAUUUUAGUCGAAUUUUAGGGAAACCUCUGUCGAAUUUUUUUCUAGGAAAUGGACAAGAGUUUGAUAACAAAGGACAUGCUUUCAAAAGAGUAUGAAGAGGGAGUUGACAACUUUAUUUUCCUCGUCAACCAUUACAAUCAGUACAAUGUGGAUUCUAUGUUAUGAGGAUGAUGAAAGACUUCGUGACAAAGGAGUUUUCAAUGCGAUGGCUAACUAGUAACUGUGGCGGGAAGAACUCUUACACAAAGGAUGAGAUCAACGAAGUGCGUGAAGAAUGGGCACAAUGCGUCAUGAAUUUGAUUAGUACUACAUAGGUCUAGUCACUUUUGUUAACUUAGACUUUUAAGGAGAUACACUUACAAUGUUAACUUAGACUUUCUUGAAGAUAUACAUACUUUUGUUGUCUAACUAUAGUUUACAAUGCUUAUAUGAGUAAUUUUGUAAUUAACUUUAGACUCGUUAUUUUGGAUACUUA